rnacentral:rRNA from 1 species
GCUUACGGCCAUACCAGCCUGAAUGCGCCCGAUCUCGUCUGAUCUCGGAAGCUAGGCAGGGUCGGGCCUGGUUAGUACUUGGCUGGGAGACCGCCUGGGAAUACCAGGUGCUGUAAGCU